rnacentral:lncRNA from 10 species
UUUUUAGAUGUUGAUUAUUUUACUAUUUCUUUAUUGUUUACCAUAGUUUACAUUAUACUUCAAAUUAUUAAAUUGUCAUGUAAAUCAGGACUGUUAGCACUUUGCAGACACUUUAUUUCUCUAAUAUCUUUUUACAUAUUGUUAUUGUUGUCAUUUAAAUCUACUUAUAUUUAAACACCAUGCAACAUCAUCGUUAUCGUCACAACAGUUAAUAUCCAAUUAUAUUUAUCCAAGUAUUUUUUUCUUUUUUCUUGAUCCUUAUUCUUUCCUUUGUUUACCUCUAUCUUAGAUCGUUUUUCUUUUUCCUAAAGAUCCUAUUUGAGGUCUUUUGUAUCUGUCUAAAAAUAUCUUCAUUUCAACUUAUUUUUUUUGAAGCACAUUAUUUUUGGUUUGUUAUAGUAAAAUAAUUGUUAGGAGUUUUUUUAUUGCUCUGUAAAGCAUUUUUACAAUUGACAUUGGGCUUUCUUCUCUCUCUCCUCUCUCUGUCUCUCUCUGUGUGUGUGUAUGUGUGUGUUUGAAUUUGCUAUUAGUAUUAUAGAUAGCACUUUAUAAGCAGUGCUCCUUUUUUCUUUGGUUGAUUUUUAAAGAUUUUGUAUUUGUUUUUGACAAUCAAGAUUUUUACAUAAUUUGUCUAAAUUUUUUGGGUUUUUUUUUUGCUCUGUUUUAUUUUGCCCCAUAUUUAUAUCACUUUUUGAAUCUGUGGCAUGUUUUAAGUCAGUUUUGGAAAACAUGCAUAUCUCUUCAAGUUUUCUGUUCUCCUUCCUAUUUCUUCUCCUCCUUCAAAAAUGAGGGUACUUUAAUUUUUUUUUAACUUUAUCUCAUGUUCUCUUUGGUGGUUUCUUGUAUUUUCUGUUUGGAUUAUUUACAUAACAGCUUUGUGAAGUUUACAAGUUGCCAAAUAACUUGAAAGAAAUAUCAGUACAGCAAUGUAACCACUGUAUAAGUAAGAACUUGGUCUAGAUGCAUCAGUGGUGUCAUAUAUUUGCAGCUGCCUUCUUGAAUCACAGGGUUCCGGGCAAGGUGGCCGAAUACGAAUAGCUCUCGUCUGCAGCUCUCAGUGAGACCAAUAGAGAAGUGAUUUCUGCAUUUCCAACUGAGGUACCCGGCUCACUACACUGGGACUGGUUAGACAAUGGGGACAGCCCACAGAGGGUGAGCUGAAGGAAGGUGGGACAUCGCCUCACCC